GUCAUUCAUUUUGUGCCGCGCUCUACAUAUGGGAGGUGACCUUGCCGAUUGGAACGGGAAAGGCAAGGUUUCUCCAGCACACCCUAAAUGAAUUUCAGGGGUGUGCUAAAGACCAUGUGGCUGAAAGGUGUCUGACUGGAAGGCGGCAUGGAAAAUUGUAUUCACGGGACCCUGUUCUCGGCUGAGGAUUGCAGUGGUGUAGCAAUGGCUUGCUCCAGCACACCCUAAAUGAACUUCAGUGGUGUACUAAAGACCAUGUAGCUGAAAGGUGUCUGACUGGAAGGCUGCAUGGAAAAUUGUAUUCAUGGGACCCUGUUGUCUCCACUGAAAACAGCUGUGGUGUAGCAAUGGGUUACAGAUGCAGUGUGGGAGGUGGGUGAACCAUUGAACCUAAUGGUUGGAUGGCUGCUAGCACGACAGUCCCUCCCUGCUGUCCUAAUUCCAGGUGUGCUGAAGGAUAUUUGCCUGACAAUUCCUUGUCCAUUAGUCUGUGCUGUUCAGACUUGUCGGACCUCAGAUGUGUGUGGAAGAUCAGGAACUGCGUCUAAUGAAAUGAACCAUGCAACAAAUGCAUUGGCUGUAACCCGUUUGAUAGUUGCCACAUGGCAUGUACGUUUGCUUCACCCUGGUUACUAGUCUGCUCUCGCAGUGUACUUUAAGUGUACCAAUGUGCAUCAACUAAAAUAAAGUCAAUUUUAUGCAAAGCUGUUCACUCGUUAAAA